UAUUUUGUAAGAUUCGUUUUCUGUUUACUAAAUGAGGCCAAUUAAUCUCCCUAAAUUUGUUUUAUCGCCGCACCAGUGGUCUAGUGGUAGAAUAGUACCCUGCCACGGUACAGACCCGGGUUCGAUUCCCGGCUGGUGCAUUUGAAUUUUGUGGUUUCCAAAUAUACUGUACUCUUCCAAUCUAAUUAGAACAACAUUUAGUACUAGAUGAAACAACACUGUAACUAAGAUUAACUUGGUGGUACACGACCCUACCACACUUGAUGGAAAACUUCAAACAUCAAAUAAUCUAGAGUUCGUUGAUUCACCACAUUUGCUUUAAUGUCCGGAUCAAAUCCGAAGAUGGACUACAACAGCACGGAUCUACAGGGGUUUCAUGUAGGCUUUUUGUGAACUGCCGAAGGAAACUUAAAAAGGGUUUAACAGUGUAUCCGUUUCCUUAGUUUGCCAGAUCCGUGGUGGAACCCUCCAAUAGCAUGCUCUCGACUCAUUCGCUGUUAGAUAAAGAGGUCAUUUGUGAAAUUGGGAACCCUACUUACCCUAACCUUAACAGGCUUGUUUUCCAGGUAACUGUCUCUCAUAUUUCCUGCACUUGAAUAUUUAUGGUUACUGUAGGUCUUUAAUUGUUUCAUUUAGGGUUGUAAUCCCCGCCAUUGAAAGUACAUGGUCUGCUGUCUCAUGUACAGAGAUGUUGUGACCAAGGGUUUGAAUGCCGACUGAAUGCCCUACUGGGUUCAAGUGGUACCAAUAAUGAGUCCCCAACCUUGGUUCCUGGUUUGCCAUCUUGCCAAAGCUGCAGAGGGAUGUUUGCAUGAUUUCUAAUUUGACAAGUGUUGUUGUGUGUUGAUUCUGCAAUUCGAUUGGAUGCAAAUAAAAAUACACAAUCGUGGACACGAUGGAUUGUGGAAAACUGAUAACGGUAAUCAAUAUCUUUCAUAAAAAAUUAUGUUUAAAAUACAAACAAUUAGAGCAACUGAAAAAGGUUGCAAGCCUAGCCUUCCUCAAAAGAUGUAUGUCAUUCCUUAGGUAACAUUGGAUGGUAUCUACAAAUUCUGUAUGGCCAGGGUUGUUAAGCAGCAACAUUUAGGCAAAACUGAAUAUGAUAUUCAAGCAGUUAUGAAGUUUCAAAGCUGGAUUUUACUGCUAAACUAUAUGCAGUUGUUGCCUCAGGGGACAUCAAGAUGCUCGUCCAGAUUGUCCAUUGCUAUGUCUAAUGCUGUUUUUUCAGAUUUAUCGAUGAGCCCCUUUGAUAUCAUCAACAAUAUCUCAGUUUUUCAUAUGCAUUGAAAUUAUGUCAAAAAUCUUAACUGCAUUUUUAGCUGCCAAGUGCAGAGCAUAGAGCAUUUCUUUGAUGGUCUUCAUAGUUGAAAAAGUAAGGAUUUGUGAUAAAAAUUUGGUACAUAUAAAAAUAUUGAUAUUAUUGAUGAUAUGAAAGGGAUUGAUAAACAAGGCAAAAUGAUAUUAGAUAUAGCAAUGGACAAAAUAUACAGUGAUGAAUGAAUGCUGCUUUAUAUUUAUAGUUAUUGGUGGUAAAAUAAAAAAAU